rnacentral:rRNA from 1 species
CGAGUGGCGGACGGGUGAGUAAUGUCUGGGAAACUGCCUGAUGGAGGGGGAUAACUACUGGAAACGGUAGCUAAUACCGCAUAACGUCGCAAGACCAAAGAGGGGGACCUUCGGGCCUCUUGCCAUCAGAUGUGCCCAGAUGGGAUUAGCUAGUAGGUGGGGUAACGGCUCACCUAGGCGACGAUCCCUAGCUGGUCUGAGAGGAUGACCAGCCACACUGGAACUGAGACACGGUCCAGACUCCUACGGGAGGCAGCAGUGGGGAAUAUUGCACAAUGGGCGCAAGCCUGAUGCAGCCAUGCCGCGUGUAUGAAGAAGGCCUUCGGGUUGUAAAGUACUUUCAGCGGGGAGGAAGGUGUUGUGGUUAAUAACCGCAGCAAUUGACGUUACCCGCAGAAGAAGCACCGGCUAACUCCGUGCCAGCAGCCGCGGUAAUACGGAGGGUGCAAGCGUUAAUCGGAAUUACUGGGCGUAAAGCGCACGCAGGCGGUCUGUCAAGUCGGAUGUGAAAUCCCCGGGCUCAACCUGGGAACUGCAUUCGAAACUGGCAGGCUAGAGUCUUGUAGAGGGGGGUAGAAUUCCAGGUGUAGCGGUGAAAUGCGUAGAGAUCUGGAGGAAUACCGGUGGCGAAGGCGGCCCCCUGGACAAAGACUGACGCUCAGGUGCGAAAGCGUGGGGAGCAAACAGGAUUAGAUACCUGGUAGUCCACGCCGUAAACGAUGUCGACUUGGAGGUUGUGCCCUUGAGGCGUGGCUUCCGGAGCUAACGCGUUAAGUCGACCGCCUGGGGAGUACGGCCGCAAGGUUAAAACUCAAAUGAAUUGACGGGGGCCCGCACAAGCGGUGGAGCAUGUGGUUUAAUUCGAUGCAACGCGAAGAACCUUACCUACUCUUGACAUCCAGAGAACUUUCCAGAGAUGGAUUGGUGCCCUUCGGGAACUCUGAGACAGGUGCUGCAUGGCUGUCGUCAGCUCGUGUUGUGAAAUGUUGGGUUAAGUCCCGCAACGAGCGCAACCCUUAUCCUUUGUUGCCAGCGGUUAGGCCGGGAACUCAAAGGAGACUGCCAGUGAUAAACUGGAGGAAGGUGGGGAUGACGUCAAGUCAUCAUGGCCCUUACGAGUAGGGCUACACACGUGCUACAAUGGCGCAUACAAAGAGAAGCGACCUCGCGAGAGCAAGCGGACCUCAUAAAGUGCGUCGUAGUCCGGAUUGGAGUCUGCAACUCGACUCCAUGA